GAAUGGAUCAUUAACAAUAU
rnacentral:misc_RNA from 1 species